CAUCUAGAGCUGAACUGGCAUGUAGAGUCACGUAAAU
rnacentral:misc_RNA from 1 species